ACCCGAGAAUAAGAAUGCAGUGAUCCUGGCGUUCGUGAACCAGUCUGCACUCAAUAUUAGGUGCAAAUUGCAGAAAUUGGACAGACUGGCAGAUAAAACCCUGCCAGAGCUUCUGGCAGUGGCUGAGAAUGUCUACAAUCAUCGAGAGAAUCCUGAGGACAAGCAGGCCUGGGUCGCUGCUGCUGCCAGUGCCAAGCAGACCUGCGACUUUUCCAUGAUCCUUCUGGUCACAUCAACCAGGUCCCCAGGUGAAAGAGAACACCAGCUGUGAUACCUAUCUGCUGAACAAGAUAAAGGAGGCCACUGACCUUGCAACUGGAAGACGAGUA